rnacentral:rRNA from 1 species
AACGAACGCUGGCGGCAUGCCUAACACAUGCAAGUCGAACGAGACCUUCGGGUCUAGUGGCGCACGGGUGCGUAACGCGUGGGAACCUGCCUUUAGGUUCGGAAUAACUCAGAGAAAUUUGAGCUAAUACCGGAUGAUGUCUUCGGACCAAAGAUUUAUCGCCUUUAGAUGGGCCCGCGUUGGAUUAGCUAGUUGGUGGGGUAAUGGCCUACCAAGGCGACGAUCCAUAGCUGGUCUGAGAGGAUGAUCAGCCACACUGGGACUGAGACACGGCCCAGACUCCUACGGGAGGCAGCAGUGGGGAAUAUUGGACAAUGGGCGAAAGCCUGAUCCAGCAAUGCCGCGUGAGUGAUGAAGGCCUUAGGGUUGUAAAGCUCUUUUACCCGAGAUGAUAAUGACAGUAUCGGGAGAAUAAGCUCCGGCUAACUCCGUG